UCCUAGCCCCGAUAGAAACGGUUACCCCACAGCAAGAGUUAGCCAUUUAGGCAGGCGCGAGGAGUAAAAGUGGAUAGCGGGAAUAAGC
rnacentral:sRNA from 2 species